rfam:Corchorus olitorius cultivar O-4 contig14187, whole genome shotgun sequence.
CUAAUACUCCUUCCGUUCCAAAAUAACUGUCGUUUUUGGGAUGAAUGUGGCCCUAAAUAAGACCACAUUCAUCCAAAAAACGACAGAUAUUUUGGAACGGAGGGAGUAUAAA